rnacentral:rRNA from 1 species
UACGUAGGGGGCAAGCGUUGUCCGGAUUUAUUGGGCGUAAAGAGCGUGUAGGCGGCCUGACAGGUCUGCUGUGAAAACUCGAGGCUCAACCUCGAGAUGUCGGCGGAAACCGUCUGGCUAGAGUCCGGAAGAGGAGAGUGGAAUUCCUGGUGUAGCGGUGAAAUGCGCAGAUAUCAGGAAGAACACCCGUGGCGAAAGCGGCUCUCUGGAACGGUACUGACGCUGAGACGCGAAAGCUAGGGGAGCAAACGGG